AUUUGGCAACACUGAAACCUUUUCUUUCCAGGCAACAUUUUGAGCUGGUUAUUCACGCUUUUGUAUCAUCUCGUCUGGAUUACUGUAAUUCACUGUAUGUGGGAGUAAAUUAGUUGCUUCUCUCCCGUCUGCAGUUGGUCCAGAAUGCUGCGGCGCAGCUUCUGACAGGGGCUUGGAGGAGGGAGCACAUGACUCCUGUCCUGGCCGCACUUCACUGGUUGCCGGGGUAUGUUAGGGU